CUCUCUCCCUCUCUCUCUCUCUCUCUCUCUCUCUCUCUCUCUUUCCCAUCCCUCUGUGUGUGUGUGUGUGUGUGUGUGCUUGUGUGAUUAUGUGUGAUUUGCGAGAGUGUGGAAAUUAUUGCUUAUGUGUAAUUUAUGUGUUCUUGUAGAAGAAUAUAGGGGUAUAAAAAUGUGUGUGCCCAAUGUGUGUAUGUGUGUGUAGAGAAUAAGGAGUGUAUUGUAACUUGAAAAGAGAUGCUCUGUGUUUAGACACCUCCUCCUUGAAUUGGCUGCAUUUGAGCAGAGACCUACAGGGAGAGCAAUGCUUCAUAAACAGCUAAAGGCUACUGGGGCCCACGCCAGACCUCGUCUCACACACACACACACACACACACGCCCACACACGUACACACCAAUACACACACCACAAACACAAUAGAUGUGCAUACCAUAUACACCACACACAUAACAUGUGCAUAUCAUAUAACACACACACACAAACACACGCACACACACACACAUCUAAAAUAUCCCAUGCUGUCCUGCGAUCCCCUUGAUUGGCAGCGGUUUGGGCUCCAGGUCCAGCAUGUAGUGGCAGCCUCCUACGGUGCAGGACAGAUGUUUUGGCAGACCCAGAUGUCCCGCAUCAUCAUCGUCAUCAUCAACAGCCCCAGCGAUGACACAAACAGCUCUCCCCCCCCCCCCCCCACACACACACAUAUACACCCACACACACACACACACACACACACACACACACACACACACACACACACACACCCUGUGCUGCACCACCAGCAGCAGCUGGAGCUGAGGAGGGCUGGAAAUAGCCGUGGAGUUCUUCCAGAACCGGCCACAGCGUGACACGGAACAUUUGAUUAGACCUCCCCGUCCCAUCAAGCAAGCCGCAGGUCCUGAAGCGCUACAACAUUCCCAGAGGCUGGUUUUAAAUCACACCCCCCGAACUCACACACACACACACACACAUAUACAUACAUACACACACACACACUCGUGACUUUCAAACCAGUCUGCUGCACUGCCAUAAGUGUUUUUUGCGGAGCUUUGACACACACACUGUCAGUACAGGACCGCCCUCACUGCUCACCACUAGCGUUCGAUUCCCAGCAGGCUUGACGGGGAAUAUGAAGUAGGCGUGACGGGGGAUAUAAAGCAGGAGUGACGGGGGAUAUGAAGCCAUUGUGCCGUCCCUGGCUGUAUCUGACUCAAAUGAAGACGGGGACCAGGAGCUUGGUGUUACCGUGUUCAGAGUUUACUUAAGACCCUGCGUGAGCCGGCCCGAAACGGUUGGCGGGAUCCAGGGAUUGCAGAAAUGUGAUCCAAAGACAGGCACAGAUAAGCAUCUGCAGCAUCCGGGUGUAACCCAAGUCACAGCGGGGAUUUCUGGCUUCCAAAGCGACCCGCAGAGUUUUAUCCCAAAAGGCGGACGCUCCAGACAGGAAUCUCACAGGCAGCGCUAAAGAGCAUUAUGGGUCGGAAACCCGCUCUGAAGGCAAACAAACAGCUACAUUGUGUUCCUGAUGGAUGAACAGUGAGAUUCAUUCUCCUCGUAAGACAAACGUCACAGGCUUUUCAGGUUUCUCUUUUGCUUUUUUUUUUACAGAUUUCUAUGUAAGGGAGUCUGAUCAAAGCUGUCAGAUUAUCAAACAACAUAUUUCAGCCUGAAGGCUAGUUUCUGAAGUGUGUUCUCAAGCACUAAAGCAAUGUAGGGAAGAAUGAAAGUGAGACUCUGAGUGUGUGUGUGUGUGUGUGUGUGUGUGUGUGUGUUUGUGUGUUUUAUGAAAGUUAGGUUGAUCGCAAGGACGCCUCAACUGAGGGCUUUCCACAGAGUAUUCCAACAGCAGUACAGCAGCAAGUGAAAUGUCACAGUCACUUCCUUAUCUCUGAAAAAAUAAGAAAUCACUUCAUUCGUUCAUCCAGAAACAAUGCCAUUAAGUGCUGGGGAGCGAUGCGUGCUCCAACACUAUCCCGAGAGAUGGGCAUACACUGCAAGUUAAUGUCGGGGGCUGUGAUUUGGAGUGCAUCGAGACGGCAUUAAUUCUGGAACAACUUGUGUGUGAAAUAGGCGGCUCAGUGUGAAAAGGGGAAAAGGUUAAACGCUCGGAUGAGUAACGCUCUCCUGCCGAUCUGCAAGAUGCCAUGACGGUUCAUCGUCACCUGGCUAAUAAGAGUGACAGAGGGGGAGCCUGAAGGGGGAACACACACACACACACACACACACACACACACAGUCAUGCCAAACACACACGUGCACAGAAAGCUUUUGGUUC
ensembl:lncRNA